CCCUUAGAUGUCCUGGGCCGCACGCGUGCUACACUGACACUUGCAACGAGUACUUUGCUUUACCGAAAGGUAAUGCUAAUCAUCAAUAAGUGUCGUGAUGGGGAUAGAUCUUUGGAAUUAUGGAUCUUGAACGAGGAAUGCCUAGUAAGCGUAGGUCAUUAGCCUACGCUGAUUAAGUCCCUGCCCUUUGUACACACCGCCCGUCGCUCCUACCGAUUUCGAGUGGUCCGGUGAAACUUUUGGACCGUGCGACUUUAUUGUUGUCACGGAAAGUCAGUUAAACCAUACUACUUAGAGGAAGGAGAAGUCGUAGCA
rnacentral:rRNA from 1 species